UUUAACUUGGAGUAGAAGACACAAAAUGCAGCCAACUAAAAAUUUAGAUUUGUUAGCACAUAUAAAUUUACAUGUGCAGGAUUUCUGAAACCAGUCCUAUAGAAAACCAUCCACCACCUUCCACAGGAAAAAUACAGCAGAACAUGAGAUAAAAUCACCAGCCACAGGAAUAGUGCAGCAAACACAAAUGUUGCUCCACUGGCAUCCUAUAUUUGAUCCCCCAGGGUGGAAACAGUCACAGAAGUAGUAAAAAUGUGGAAAAAGUGAGAAAAAGAAUACAACAUCCUGGAGCCAGUCAGGAAAAACACCAAUAACUAACAUCACAAGUUGAAUAAUGAAAACUGCAUCAUUUCUUUGGCUGUUUUGAUUUCACAAGGAGGAUGUUCUUUGGACCCAUCUAUCACACUCCUGUCUGUGUUUGAGCACUCUAGUGUGCACUUUUAUAAAGAGCUUAAGUUUUUCCAGACAGAGUGAGAGGCUGUCAGUAUAGCCAUAGCCAAAGGAUGCACUCUGGAGCGUGACAGGCUGACUAGGUGCUCUGAAUUGUUGACAAGGAAAACGUUGUUUGCUUCCGGUGUUGGACAGCAUCAAAUAAAUGGAGGUAUUUUGCGGCAGAGUAGCAUUUCGAGGCUGUCCGAGUCGGUGUCUUAUGGACGGCUGUGUGCUGGUUAGAUUCCCAAAUCACUCUUCUAGUCCGGAGCAGAGAGAUGUUAAUUCCAAACCUAAUGCAUGGUGGCACCCUCUCCUCUCCAUCGAGGUGUGAUUUACCCCAUGUGAAAGCAUCCUGACAGCCCCCUCCAUCAUCACACCUCUGUGACCAAAUCUAUAGGAUGCUCAAAUCUCCUGGUCCCUGGCUCAUUCAUUCUUUCCAUCCCUCCAUCCGCAGGUGAAGCUGAAGACUGUAUCACUCUUGAGAGGCAGAGGCAGUCAAGUCCACUGGGACGUGUCUGUGUGUGUGUGUGUGUAUAGAAUACGGGCUCUUGGGUUGUUAGAUGCUGGUGUUCAUUAAUUAGCAUGGACUUCAAACAUGUGAAAUAGCACCUAAGGCUGCUUUUAAUUUAGAUGAGAUGUGCAAACACAUCCAGGGCAAGUGGCACGUAAAUGUUGCAGCUACACUGACACAUUUAUUCUUUUAGUAGAUGCAUUUAUCCACAUCAAUUUGAAACAAAGCAGAGAGCAUGAAAAUGCAACAAAAGAGAGCAAACUAAAGACAAAAGUGUGGAUGCUACUCAUAGAUAUUAAAGUUCAUUUGAGAGUCUAUCAAUAUGCCUUUUUAAGCAAUCAGAUCAAUGCAAUUCAGUACUGAAGUGCUCCAGAUUGCAUGAAAUCCACUGUUUCAUGCUUGCCACUAUAUAAAUGCUUGGUAAAAUACUGCAAGGAGAGCACAGACUUAAGUAUCUGAAAGUUUGCCAAUUCAAAUUGCCAUUUGAAAACUUCUUUUGAAACCUUUGGGAGUUUUAGCUGUGAAGUGGGUGGAGCUGUUGAUUUAUUUUCAACACUGUGCAUUUUUAAUUUUAAUUUAGUUUUUAUUGCAUCAAUGAGCACAGAGCUGAAAAUUACAUGUGGCAUGCAGCUGCUGGUGCAGGGUUUUCUUUUAUUUUUAUUUUUUAUUUUUUUAGCUAGUGUCUGCUUGCUUGCUGGAGUGCAACAGAGGACUGGGGCCGCACACGGUAAUGGAUUCUCAGCUCGUCCUGUGCCAUGAAGCCAAGUGUGAUUUGUCAGGUUAUUGCAGGGUUUUUUUUUCUGCUCAUUUGAUCAGAUUCUUCUUGUUUGAUUUAGUAGCUUAAAAAAUGCUUUGUUUCAGCUAACAAAAACAUGUGACUAAAAGUUGACCCCAUUAUUCAUAACAAUAAACUACUAAAACUAAACCUAAUCUUUGAAAAA
ensembl:lncRNA